CCCAACCUCCAUAUUUUCAUUUCUUACCUUGCCCUCCAAGCUUAAAUAAAAAAACUCUCAAACCGAACAGCCACCGCCGAUCCGGAGAAGAGAAAAUGAAGCUGGUAUGGUCACCGGAGACGGCAACAAAAGCCUACAUCGGAACUGUUAAAGCAGUAAGCCUGCUCAAUUACUUUCUGUAAGAUUGAUUGAUUUCAGUCUUUUGAUUCGAUUUUUAUC
rnacentral:lncRNA from 1 species